ensembl:processed_transcript tRNA methyltransferase 61B
AUUCCUACUCUGCAACGUCGGACACUUUAAUAGUAACUGGGGAGCGAUUGCGUUCAGGGAGAUCGAGGACAAGUAUCCUGGCCAGAUCCUGACAAGUUUUCCCGGUAAGAGUUCUCUGCGGAGGCCACCUUUGGAGGACUCUGUAUAUUGAUGGAAGAGGGCCCGCCGGAACCUAUCCAAAAGUAUUGUCAUGGGAAUUAGGUGUGUAUGGGUUCCAGGACGGGCGAGGACGGACGGCGCACUACCACAGUCCGAUGAAUGUUCUCAUAACCGACCUUUGGAGUUUUUCAGCAUGUUGGAUUUUUAAACAUGUUCAGGUUGGAAAAUUGAGAGUGUAAUGUUAACAGUAAAGUUUAACCUUUUAAGCUGGUGGAGGAAGUUCAGACCACACCUGAACUGGUACCUGAGAUGACAGCACUGAAUCUGAAGACAAAGAAGGAUCAAAUUAGAACUCACUACUUCAGAAAGUCUUUUUACCUUAUUUUGGUAUGUUUACUUAUUACUAUGAUUUGUAUGACUUUUACAUGUGUUUGAAAAGUAACAGAAGCUAAAGGCCAUUGUACAGCUGGGUAACAUCCCGUUUUCGUUCUCUUGCAUUUGGUCUGCCAUUCUGUCGAUGUGACUCCAGCUUUAGUUGAGCCUUGUCAUUCUUCACUCUCUGCAAACCAUUCCACGGAUUUGUUUUUCUUCACAAAAUUAGUUUCAUUUUCUUUGUUUGAUUGAUGGUCAUUGGCUACUGAAAUAAAAUAUGCAUUUUAAAGU